rnacentral:rRNA from 1 species
CGGUGUUUAACUGGCGUGAUGUGGGACGUCCUACCGGUGGGCUUAGCCUCGCGAGGGGCGGCCCAACUAAUAUCCCGUCGCGGUGCUCUUUACUGAGUGUCGAGUCGGGCCGGUACGUUUACUUUGAACAAAUUAGAGUGCUUAAAGCAGGCUAUCCUCGCCUGAAUACUGCGUGCAUGGAAUAAUGGAAUAGGACCUCGGUUCUAUUUUGUUGGUUUUCGGAACCCCGAGGUAAUGAUUAAUAGGGACAGAUGGGGGCAUUCGUAUUGCGACGUUAGAGGUGAAAUUCUUGGAUCGUCGCAAGACGGACAGAAGCGAAAGCAUUUGCCAAAAAUGUUUUCAUUAAUCAAGAACGAAAGUUAGAGGUUCGAAGGCGAUCAGAUACCGCCCUAGUUCUAACCAUAAACGAUGCCAGCUAGCGAUCCGCCGAAGUUCCUCCGAUGACUCGGCGGGCAGCUUCCGGGAAACCAAAGCUUUUGGGUUCCGGGGGAAGUAUGGUUGCAAAGCUGAAACUUAAAGGAAUUGACGGAAGGGCACCACCAGGAGUGGGAGCCUGCGGCUUAAUUUGACUCAACACGGGAAACCUCACCAGGCCCAGACACCGGAAGGAUUGACAGAUUGAUAGCUCUUUCUUGAUUCGGUGGGGUGGUGGUGCAUGGCCGUUCUUAGUUGGUGGAGCGAUUUGUCUGGUUAAUUCCGAUAACGAACGAGACUCUAGCCUGCUAAAUAGGCGUACCUUAUGGUAUCGCGAAGGCCCCCGGCUUCGGCCGGUGGGUUUUUACUACCAACGUACAAACAAAUCUUCUUAGAGGGACAGGCGG